GAGGGUUGCUGGAGGUAUCAGAAGUGCGAAUGCUGACAUAAGUAACGAUAAAGCGGGUGAAAAGCCCGCUCGCCGGAAGACCAAGGGUUCCUGUCCAACGUUAAUCGGGGCAGGGUGAGUCGACCCCUAAGGCGAGGCCGAAAGGCGUAGUCGAUGGGAAACAGGUUAAUAUUCCUGUACUUGGUGUUACUGCGAAGGGGGGACGGAGAAGGCUAUGUUAGCCGGGCGACGGUUGUCCCGGUUUAAGCAUGUAGGCUGGUUAUCCAGGCAAAUCCGGAUAAUCAAGGCUGAGGUGUGAUGACGAGGCACUACGGUGCUGAAGUAACAAAUGCCCUGCUUCCAGGAAAAGCCUCUAAGCAUCAGGUAACAUCAAAUCGUACCCCAAACCGACACAGGUGGUCAGGUAGAGAAUACCAAGGCGCUUGAGAGAACUCGGGUGAAGGAACUAGGCAAAAUGGUGCCGUAACUUCGGGAGAAGGCACGCUGGUGUGUAGGUGAAGUCCCUGCGGAUGGAGCUGAGACCAGUCGAAGAUACCAGCUGGCUGCAACUGUUUAUUAAAAACACAGCACUGUGCAAACACGAAAGUGGACGUAUACGGUGUGACGCCUGCCCGGUGCCGGAAGGUUAAUUGAUGGGGUUAUCCGUAAGGAGAAGCUCUUGAUCGAAGCCCCGGUAAACGGCGGCCGUAACUAUAACGGUCCUAAGGUAGCGAAAUUCCUUGUCGGGUAAGUUCCGACCUGCACGAAUGGCGUAAUGAUGGCCAGGCUGUCUCCACCCGAGACUCAGUGAAAUUGAACUCGCUGUGAAGAUGCAGUGUACCCGCGGCAAGACGGAAAGACCCCGUGAACCUUUACUAUAGCUUGACACUGAACAUUGAGCCUUGAUGUGUAGGAUAGGUGGGAGGCUUUGAAGCGUGGACGCCAGUCUGCGUGGAGCCAACCUUGAAAUACCACCCUUUAAUGUUUGAUGUUCUAACGUUGGCCCCUUACCGGGGUUGCGGACAGUGUCUGGUGGGUAGUUUGACUGGGGCGGUCUCCUCCCAAAGCGUAACGGAGGAGCACGAAGGUUAGCUAAUCCUGGUCGGACAUCAGGAGGUUAGUGCAAUGGCAUAAGCUAGCUUGACUGCGAGCGUGACGGCGCGAGCAGGUGCGAAAGCAGGUCAUAGUGAUCCGGUGGUUCUGAAUGGAAGGGCCAUCGCUCAACGGAUAAAAGGUACUCCGGGGAUAACAGGCUGAUACCGCCCAAGAGUUCAUAUCGACGGCGGUGUUUGGCACCUCGAUGUCGGCUCAUCACAUCCUGGGGCUGAAGUAGGUCCCAAGGGUAUGGCUGUUCGCCAUUUAAAGUGGUACGCGAGCUGGGUUUAGAACGUCGUGAGACAGUUCGGUCCCUAUCUGCCGUGGGCGCUGGAGAAUUGAGGGGGGCUGCUCCUAGUACGAGAGGACCGGAGUGGACGCAUCACUGGUGUUCGGGUUGUCAUGCCAAUGGCACUGCCCGGUAGCUAAAUGCGGAAGAGAUAAGUGCUGAAAGCAUCUAAGCACGAAACUUGCCCCGAGAUGAGUUCUCCCUGAGACUUUAAGUCUCCUGAAGGAACGUUAAAGACGAUGACGUUGAUAGGCCGGGUGUGUAAGCGCAGCGAUGCGUUGAGCUAACCGGUACUAAUGAACCGUGAGGCUUAACCUU
rnacentral:rRNA from 1 species